rnacentral:tRNA from 1 species
CUCGAUGUGGGUCAAAGGUUGAUCGCUUGGUUUGGGACCAAGAUCAUGCAGGUUCGAGUCCUGCCAUCGAGACCA